GUUAUUUUUGUAUUUUAAAAAUAUUUUAAAAAAUAUAUAAAUUUUAUUUUUUACACUUUAAAUUAAUUUGUUUUUGAUAUUCAACAUCUACUGUUAUCUCAACCACCCCUUCAACAUCCUUUAACAUAUUCUAUAGUUAUAUACUUACUCUUUUAAGUGUGCUGUGUUGAACUCUUAACAAAAAUUCAAGAUAGCAAGAGAGAGAUAUGGGUCCUGAGAUUCCAUGGACGUGUCUUUAAGUGACCAGGAACAAGGUGAUUUUGAUUCUCCGUAGAAGCUUGAAGCUGGAGCUUUGUUUGAGCUCAAAUCUAGAGAUACCACAUGACAGCAACAAUCGUAGCUCCAGCACGUCUGAGUCUUACCUUUGCUCUGGCCUUAACAAGCUGGUUUGGGGGAUACUAUGUUUACUUGUGGCCGCCGUCGUUACAUUCUACUCCUAUAACCUUCUGUCACUGGUUUUGGAGGAUUAUGCUGACAUUGGACAGCGCCAACUUAGGUUCCGAGAUAUGGCCAGGGAUAUACUAGUUUGAUAUAGGACCAGGAUGGGGCAGAUAUUUUGUAGGUCCAAUUCAAUUUGGUUUAUGCCAUGGUGCAGUUGUUGCCUUAACUCUUCUUGGAGGACAGAGCCUCAAGAUGAUGAUUAUUCGCCUCAUUGAUUUUGCGGUGGCUGUUUCCUGCGUUGGCAGUUCAUUUACUUUCUUUCCAGGCCAGACGGAACUGUGCAUUAAGGAAUAAACUGUCAAAAAUAUACUCUAUUUGAAGGCAACUAUAGGUCCUCUAGCUCAAGGGGAAAAUGUUUAAAGGACUCUGUGUGAGUUAUGCUGUUGUAAUCACAACUUUCUUCAGCGUUGCGGUAUCUGGGUACUGGGAAUUUGGCAAUAAAGCCCAGGCAACAGUUCUGGUUAACUUUAUGGUUGAUGGGAAGCCUCUUUUGCCCACUUGGGUUCUCUUGAUGACCAAUGUGUUUGCCCUCUUGUAACUCACAGCUCUCUGUGUCGUAUGAUUUGCUCAUCACUCAUCACUGGGUUCAGAUUUUGACGUCCAGUGGUUUCAACACUAACACAAGUCCAUCGUUCAGAAGUUACAUGUUAUCAGUCAUCACCACCCAUAGCAGGAUUCUCCAUUAUGCAUCAUAUUUUACUAGACUGCAAAUUUAUAUGCAGGUUAACUUACAACCCACAAAUGAUGUGCUGGAGCGCAAGUUUGCAGAUCCAAAACGUGGAGAAUUUUCUGUUCGUAAAUGUUCUACCAAGGUUGGUUUUCUGAUCAUUAUCCAUUGCCAUAGCCACGACCCUCGCAGCAAUGUUUCCUUUCUUUGGUGACAUCGACGCAGUGAUUGGAGCAUUUGGAUGCAUACCCCUGGACAUCAUUUUGUCAAUGGUAUUGUAUAAUGUAACCUUCAAGUCCUCCAAGCUGGGCCUAAUGUUCGGGAUUAACACAUUGAUUGCCACCAUAUUUUCAGCAUUAGGAGUGUUAGGUGCAAUAUCUUCAAUUAGGCAGAUAGUACUUGAUGCCAAACACUUGUAGUCUAUUUGCUAACUUGUAAUGAUAACAGCAACCUGUAUCUAGUUUUUGUAAUCCACUUUAAGAAUUUUAAAUAUCAAAUCAAAGUUCCUAAAUCUUUUUUUUA